AUCAACUUUCGAUGGUAGGAUAGAGGCCUACCAUGGUGGUAACGGGUAACGGGGUGUUAGGGCACGACACCGGAGAGGGAGCCUGAGAAACGGCUACCACAUCCAAGGAUGGCAGCAGGCGCGCAAAUUACCCAAUCCCGACACGGGGAGGUAGUGACAAUAAAUAACAAUACGGGGUUCUUUAGGAUCUCGUAAUUGGAAUGAGUACAAUUUAAAUCUCUUAACGAGGAACAAUUGGAGGGCAAGUCUGGUGCCAGCAGCCGCGGUAAUUCCAGCUCCAAUAGCGUAUAUUAAAGUUGUUGCAGUUAAAAAGCUCGUAGUUGAAUUUCGGGGUCAGUAGGUUGGUCGUGCCACCGGUACGUACUGGUCUCACUGAUUCCUCCUUCCUGAUGAGCUGUAAUGCCAUUAAUUUGGUGUUGCAGGGAAUCUGGACUGUUACUUUGAAAAAAUUAGAGUGUUUAAAGCAGGCUAACGCUUGAAUACAUUUGCAUGGAAUAAUGAAAUAGGACGUUCGAUCCUAUUUUGUUGGUUUCUAGGAUUGACGUAAUGAUUAAUAGGGAUAGUUGGGGGCAUUAGUAUUCAAUUGUCAGGGGUGAAAUUCUUGGAUUUAUUGAAGACUAACUACUGCGAAAGCAUUUGCCAAGGAUGUUUUCAUUAAUCAAGAACGAAAGUUANGGGAUCGAAGACGAUCAGAUACCGUCGUAGUCUUAACCAUAAACUAUGCCNACUAGGGAUCGGAUGAUGUUAAUUUUUUAAUGACUCAUUCGGCGCCNUACGGGAAAACAAAGUGUUUGGGUUC
rnacentral:rRNA from 1 species